rnacentral:lncRNA from 1 species
CUCAGGCCAGCGCUGGGUCUGAGCUCUGGCUCAGCGCAGCCCCGCUGGGGUCAGGUCCGGCCUGCUCUGGUACGCAGCACGCCGCCUGUGCUGCAGGAAAGCCCCUGGCAGGCCCCGGGUCUUGAAGUUGUGUUUUCUCAACGGCGCCCGAGGCCUUCACUCGCAGUGUUGCUCGCGGACGCUUCCUGGGCCCUGAGUGAAGACCGCCUCGGCCUCCCAGUUCAUCAUGGCGUCAGCCUUGAGUUUCUUCCCAUCGGGGAUCUGAGGAGACCUUAACUUUUUCUCUUCGCCUAAAAAUUUUGACAAGACUGUAAUUGAGAUCCUGGCUGGCGUUACAUUUCAUGUGAACACUCAGCUGGGUGAGGAUCUGCUUCCACACUUAACUAUUGUUGGCAGAGAGAUAAUUACCUGAGCGGACACAAGUGACAGUUUCUCGUUGCCUUCUAUACAAGAAAAUCCAGAAAUUGUUAGCCAGCAGGACUUCAGGUCGACGGUGGAGUAGUGAGAAGAUCUUUCAUGGCUGCCCUCUCUGACUUCUCUUCAGUGGAGACUAGGAUCACCUGGAGAAGAUCCCAGCUCAGUGCUUCCUGAGAUUCAGAGGCGUGUUCCAAACCUGUUUUCCUCCAGAAAGAGGUGAACAGAAACAAUGCUAAGAGGAGAGAGAGAGAACCUAAAAGCCAUUGGUGUGUAGGAUAGCAUUUCUUAGGUUUUGGUUCCUGUUUUUGAGGUUUAUUGUGAUUGAAAAUGAUCAAGCGAAGAUAAAUUCCACAAAACAAAUGCAUCUGUUAUGUAAUAGACAUAUGGACUAAUAAAAAAGACACAAAAAGCAACAAAUACUGGUAAGGAUGUGGGACAAAAGGAACCCUUGAACAUUGGUGCUGGGUACAUAGUAGUACAUAGCAGUACAACCACUAUGGAAAUCAUUAUGGAGGCUCCUCAAAAACUGAAAAUAGAAAUUCCAUUAGACCCAGAUAUACUUCUCCUGGGUAUACUUCUGAAAAAGUUAAAGACAUCAUACUCUAGUGAUACAUGCACACCUGUGUUUAUAGCAGCUCAAUUCACAGUGGCUAAGCACUGGAAGCAGAUUACACGACCAUCCACAGACCAUGGAUAAAG